GCUAGCUCCUGCAGAGGGAGGGCCUGUGAGCCAGGAUCCGGGAGGCAGCCAAGCCAAGCCAAGGCACUACCUGAGACCCCGAUGGAGGGCAUCACUGGGGAGGAACAGACCAGAGGAUCCCCUGCCACAGAGAAACUGGUAUUCAUGGGUGAUCACCAGUUCUGCAUCUUUCUCAACUGCUCCCAAGGGCUCUUCCCUUUCAACCAUUACUAGAAACCCCUCAGAAUCAUCUUGUGGAGGCCAUAGGAUCUGGGGCUCACAGAACUUCUACAAAAUAGACUGUAUAGAUGUGCCAACCUAGUGGACUUGGCAUUCUCUGAAACAUUGGCUUAGUAUGAUCAGAGUGCCUUGCCAGCAGAGUUCAUCUAUGGGGAUUUCUGGCUCUAUCCUUCCCUUUCACUCCACAAGCUGUUUUGGCUAUAUGUUAUAGGACAAAAUGGGGCACAUCUUAAGUGUCUCCUGGGCUCCAAUGAAUAAGGAGAAAGACUCUUGACUGAAGAAGAGGAGAUGUUCCAGACUGCAAGUCCUCUGGAAACCAGAGAAGUCAUUGUGAUUUGGAUCUCAAGGGGGGUAUGUAGUGGAGAGGAAAAAAACCGAGCUCAUACCAUGUGCAUGUGUCUCAGAAGCUGAGAGGAUGUAACAGCUGGUAGCAGUUGCCUGAAAUACUCCACACUAUAAACAGGUGUUGAUUCUGCUGCAAAAGGGUUAAGUGGGUUUUGCUGACACUGUGAGACAAAUGACCCAUGAUCUCAUCAUGAUCCAAGGGAGAUGGGAAUGGCUUUCUGAGGGAGAGAAGAUCUCGGGUGUGGGCUGUGCAGUUCUAAAGAAGAAACCCUAAUAGCAGCUAAGCCUGCAGAAAAGAGAGUAUUGCCUCUGGAGAACAAAAAGUUUUAGGGCACACAGCCUACCCUGCCUACUGAAUCAUCUCGACUGACAAGAGGAGGUGUGAAAACUCUGCCUGCUUCUAUUCUGCCACAUAUUCCAAGCUUUACAAAGGAGAGAGCUUUUUUCACAGGUGGGGAUUAUUGAGCCAUUAAAGCUCUUGAUCACAGCUAUGAAUGCAUAAAGAGGACAUGUCAAUUCCAUGUGGUAUAACUUAGAAAUUAAUUGGGUGGUGAAACCAAGCAGCCCAUAUGAUGACUGUCUCAUCAGAUACACAAUAUAGGCUGACUAUCAGAGCCUACCUGUGGUUUAAAAAUAAAGUUGUAAACAUUACAAAAUUGUGCUGACAUACAAGUUACUGAUUCUGAAAUGUUCCACUUUGUUCAUGUUUUACCUCUUUAGGAUAGAAUUGUUGCAUAAACCCAUCUAUUUAUUUAGAUGUGAAGAGACACCACAAACUAUUAUGGUUUUAGCUACAUCAGUGUGUAUUAAAGUAAUUAGACUGUGUAUUUUUAAACGUAAGGCCCUGCAGCAAUAGUUAAUUAAAAGAACAUGAAUUUAGAGUCUGCAGAAUAAUUGUGCCUAGGACAAUACUUGACCAAACAUAAUUAGCUGAAUUUAGAUAAAUUCUCAAUGUGGCUUUCAGCAACCUGAAUAGAAAAAUCAUACACUUCACUGGGUAUAAAUAGGUUUGAAAUGAACAUUUGGAAUGUAUGAGAAUAUUUUGCAAGAAUAAUAUACCCAGGAUUUUAGACUAUGUAAUAAAGUGUAGGCUCUUUGACUCAAGAAAAAUCUGUUUUUCUAUUCUGCUUUUAUUUGCUGAUUUUUGGUUAAAUUUCUUUCAGCAGAUAUAAAAGAUGAAGGAAAGCAAAAAGAAUGAGAUUUAAAUAAAGGAAAAGUAUUAUA